rnacentral:rRNA from 1 species
UACAGAGGUGCCGAGCGUUAGGCGGAAUCACUGGGCUUAAAGCGUGUGUAGGCGGAUGCCUAAGUACCUUGUGAAAUCCCCCGGCUUAACCGGGGAACUGCUUGGUAUACUGGGUGUCUUGAGCCACUUAGGGGCGACCGGAACAAACGGUGGAGCGGUGAAAUGCGUAGAUAUCGUUUGGAACGCCAAUGGUGAAAACAGGUCGCUGGGAGUGUGCUGACGCUGAGACACGAAAGCCAGGGGGAGCGAACGGG